ensembl:antisense Rab10os RAB10, member RAS oncogene family, opposite strand
UGGACGUAGCUUCAGGUGACCUCACUGACCCCGCCCCUGACUCCACCCCUUGUGAUGACCCCACCACUGACCCACAGGCCUUGGAGGGGCUGAUCCUGGAGAAGCCAAAGGACCAGGAGGAUGCCAUGGGGGUGCUGUACAGGCUGAGCAGGAAGCAGAGCAGCACAGCGUCAUCAUGAGGGUAGCCAUCUUCACCUGGGGCAUCCACGGAGGCCCUGCCCAGGAAGUGACUUUCUCUCCACUGUAGGAGGAGCUGAUCCACGACUACUUGGACACCAGCACACCAGCGAAGGAUGGGACAAGGCCUGGGGCCUACGCCAUCCAUGUGUGGGGAGUGAUGCUGGUAGAGGGCAAAUUGGUGACGUCAUCAAUGCAGCGGGCUUCCCACUCAACCACUUUAGCCGCAAGCUUGCAAGGGCAGCUGCCAGAGACAGGAAGUGACAUCGCUGUGGAGAGGGCAGCAGGAAGUGAGCUGGAAGAAAAGUGUUUUGAAACUGACCCUACAGAUAAAAGAGUUCAUCAUGAAUGCGAUACCCUCCUAUACAGUUGUUAGAAGCAACCCUCCAUCUCCAACUCCAAAAAUAAAUGAAAACCAAACCACACAGUUGGAAAUCAGCAAGAAGAGAACCGGAUGGUGGAUGGCAGCAGAUGGACAGGAGAGCACUCAGCAGCACUUGCUCUUCCAGCCCGUCACGCCUCCUCCACUGCUGAUAUCUACGUUUUCACUGUUGGGUUCUUUUACAGGGGUCUGCAACAACACAAGGAAGCAAGCAACCCGUGAGAAAGCACUGGCAUGGAUGAAAACAGACUCACUGGAAAGAU